rnacentral:rRNA from 1 species
UCUAGUAUAGCAUUAUACCGUGAAACUGCGAAUGGCUCAUUAAAUCAGUUAUCGUUUAUUUGAUAGUACCUUACUACUUGGAUAACCGUGGUAAUUCUAGAGCUAAUACAUGCUAAAAACCCCGACUUCGGGAGGGGUGUAUUUAUUAGAUAAAAAACCAAUGCCCUUCGGGGCUCUUUGGUGAUUCAUGAUAACUUAACGGAUCGCAUGGCCUUGCGCCGGCGACGGUUCAUUCAAAUUUCUGCCCUAUCAACUUUCGAUGGUAAGGUAUUGGCUUACCAUGGUUUCAACGGGUAACGGGGAAUUAGGGUUCGAUUCCGGAGAGGGAGCCUGAGAAACGGCUACCACAUCCAAGGAAGGCAGCAGGCGCGCAAAUUACCCAAUCCCGACUCGGGGAGGUAGUGACAAUAAAUACUGAUACAGGGCUCUUUUGGGUCUUGUAAUCGGAAUGAGUACAAUUUAAACCCCUUAACGAGGAACAAUUGGAGGGCAAGUCUGGUGGACAUUCAGCUCCCAUUUCUGCUGACGCCAGAGAUAGUCGGGCACCUCUUGGGGUGUUAUGCCGGCUAGUCGAGUACCUGCUUUGUGAUGGGGAGGUACCGGCAAGACAACCUGGAUCGGGGAAGGCUAAGGCGCCCUUGGGGGGCUAUGUUAAUCCCGAGCAGAGCUGCCGCAGAGCGAUUUGCGGACAGCCUGUGUAGAGUGCGGUAAGGUGUCGGCCAGCUCACGAAGUUGGCUUAAGGGACGUACCAUUCCCAUCCGAAAGGGUGGCUGCCAGCAUGAGCGCCCAUCACGCAAGGGCUGGCAGGUUCAAACGCACCGUUUGAAAGUAUCAAAAAAGGCCAGCAGCCGCGGUAAUUCCAGCUCCAAUAGCGUAUAUUAAAGUUGUUGCAGUUAAAAAGCUCGUAGUUGAACCUUGGGCCUGGCUGGCCGGUCCGCCUCACCGCGUGUACUGGUCCGGCCGGGCCUUUCCUUCUGGAGAGCCGCAUGCCCUUCACUGGGUGUGUUGGGGAACCAGGACUUUUACUUUGAAAAAAUUAGAGUGUUCAAAGCAGGCCUUUGCUCGAAUACGUUAGCAUGGAAUAAUAGAAUAGGACGUGCGGUCCUAUUUUGUUGGUUUCUAGGACCGCCGUAAUGAUUAAUAGGGAUAGUCGGGGGCAUCAGUAUUCAAUUGUCAGAGGUGAAAUUCUUGGAUUUAUUGAAGACUAACUACUGCGAAAGCAUUUGCCAAGGAUGUUUUCAUUAAUCAGUGAACGAAAGUUAGGGGAUCGAAGACGAUCAGAUACCGUCGUAGUCUUAACCGUAAACUAUGCCGACUAGGGAUCGGGCGAUGUUUCUAUCUUGACUCGCUCGGCACCUUACGAGAAAUCAAAGUUUUGGGUCUG